rnacentral:rRNA from 1 species
GCUUAGCCCUAAACCUAGAUAGCCCACAACAACGCUAUUCGCCAGAGUACUACUAGCAACAGCUUAAAACUCAAAGGACUUGGCGGUGCUUCACACCCCUCUAGAGGAGCCUGUUCUGUAAUCGAUAAACCCCGAUAAACCUCACCAACCCUUGCUAAUACAGCCUAUAUACCGCCAUCUUCAGCAAACCCUAAAAAGGAACCAUAGUAAGCAAAACUAUGCAACAUAAAAACGUUAGGUCAAGGUGUAGCCCAUGGGUUGGGAAGAAAUGGGCUACAUUUUCUAAUAUAGAACAUUUUAACGAAUAUUCCCGUGAAACCAGGAAUGGAAGGAGGAUUUAGUAGUAAAUUAAGAAUAGAGAGCUUAAUUGAACUAGGCCCUGAAGCAC